UGAGCAACCUGCCCUUGGCUUUGGGAUAACCCUCGGAAACGGGGGCUAAUACCGAAUAUUCACUGCUUCGCGCAUGUGGGGUGGUGGAAAGUUUUUCGGCUGGGGAUGGGCUCGCGGCCUAUCAGCUUGUUGGUGGGGUGAUGGCCUACCAAGGCGACGACGGGUAGCCGGCCUGAGAGGGCGACCGGCCACACUGGGACUGAGACACGGCCCAGACUCCUACGGGAGGCA
rnacentral:rRNA from 1 species